rnacentral:rRNA from 1 species
CCCAGGAUAGCUGGAACUCAUGAUAGUUUUUAUCAGGUAAAAGCGAAUGAUUAGAAGUUUUGGGGAUGAAACAUCCUCGGCUUAUUCUCAAACUUUAAAUAGGUAAGAUUAUUCAUUUACUUUAGUGAAUUGAGUAAUCGAAUAAAGAGUUCUUAGUGGGCCAUUUUUGGUAAGCAGAACUGGCGAUGUGGGAUGAACCAGACGUUAAGAUAAAGUGCCAAAGAUUUCGCUCAUCAGACACCAUAAAAAGGUGUUAAUUCAUAUCGACAGUAGGACGGUGGCCAUGGAAGUCGGAAUCCGCUAAGGAGUGUGUAACAACUCACCUACCGAAUGAAUUAGCCCUGAAAAUGGAUGGCGCUUAAGCGAUACACUUAUACUUAACCCAUAAAAAAUUUAGUGCAGUUUUUAUGGAGUAGGAGG